AGGACUGUGUCACAAAGAUUGUUUAGGUCAGAGUGAGCAGUCUGUGCAUCAAAAGUACCUACUAUGCCAGGGAUUGUCCAGCCGGGGAUACAGCUGCAAAUAGAACAGAGACCCAGUCUUCAUGGAGCUUACAUUCGCUCAAGUCUGAGAUUUCAGUGUGUUUUGGAAAAAAAUACAGUAAAUAAAUUAAGCCAAGAACUCAGAGCUUGUCCAGAACCG